CCUACGGGUGGCUGCAGUGAGGAAUAUUGGUCAAUGGGCGGGAGCCUGAACCAGCCAAGUCGCGUGAGGGAUGACGGUCCUACGGAUUGUAAACCUCUUUUGCCGGGGAGCAAGCUUGCGUUCGUGAACGCGCGUCGAGAGUACCCGUAGACAAAGCCUCGGCUACCUCCGUCCCAGCAGCCGCGGUAAUACGGGGGAUGCGAGCGUUCUCCGGAUUUAUUGGGUUUAAAGGGUGCGUAGGCGGGAUGCAAAGUCAGCGGUAAAAAUGCGGUGCUCAACGCCGUCGAGCCGUUGAAACUGGCGGUCUUGAGUGGGCGAGAAGUAGGCGGAAUGCGUGGUGUAGCGGUGAAAUGCAUAGAUAUCACGCAGAACUCCGAUUGCGAAGGCAGCAUACCGGAGCCCGACUGACGCUGAGGCACGAAAGCGUGGGUAUCGAACAGGAUUAGAUACCCGAGUAGUC
rnacentral:rRNA from 1 species